rnacentral:rRNA from 1 species
AGUGGAGUAUGUGGUUUAAUUCGAAGCAACGCGAAGAACCUUACCAGGGCUUGACAUCCCUUGAAGCAGCUAGAGAUAGCUGUGUCCUUCGGGACAAGGAGACAGGUGCUGCAUGGCUGUCGUCAGCUCGUGUCGUGAGAUGUUGGGUUAAGUCCCGCAACGAGCGCAACCCUCGCCUUUAGUUGCCAGCAUUCAGUUGGGCACUCUAGAGGGACUGCCGGUGUCAAACCGGAGGAAGGUGGGAUGACGUCAAGUCCUCAUGGCCUUUAUGUCUAGGGCUACACACGUACUACAAUGGCCGGUACAAAGGGCAGCCACUCAGCGAUGAGGCGCUAAUCCCAUAAAGCCGGUCUCAGUCCGGAUCGCAGUCUGCAACUCGACUGCGUGAAGUUGGAAUCGCUAGUAAUCGUAGAUCAGCAUGCUACGGUGAAUACGUUCCCGGGCCUU